GAUGAACGCUGGCGGCGUGCCUAAUACAUGCAAGUCGAGCGAACAGACGAGGAGCUUGCUCCUCUGACGUUAGCGGCGGACGGGUGAGUAACACGUGGAUAACCUACCUAUAAGACUGGGAUAACUUCGGGAAACCGGAGCUAAUACCGGAUAAUAUAUUGAACCGCAUGGUUCAAUAGUGAAAGACGGUUUUGCUGUCACUUAUAGAUGGAUCCGCGCCGCAUUAGCUAGUUGGUAAGGUAACGGCUUACCAAGGCGACGAUGCGUAGCCGACCUGAGAGGGUGAUCGGCCACACUGGAACUGAGACACGGUCCAGACUCCUACGGGAGGCAGCAGUAGGGAAUCUUCCGCAAUGGGCGAAAGCCUGACGGAGCAACGCCGCGUGAGUGAUGAAGGUCUCCGGAUCGUAAAACUCUGUUAUUAGGAAAGAACAAAUGUGUAAGUAACUAUGCACGUCUUGACGGUACCUAAUCAGAAAGCCACGGCUAACUACGUG
rnacentral:rRNA from 1 species